UACAGAGGGUGCGAGCGUUAAUCGGAAUUACUGGGCGUAAAGCGCACGUAGGUGGCGACGUAAGUCGGGUGUGAAGGCCCCGGGCUCAACCUGGGAAUUGCAUUCGAGACUGCAUUGCUGGAGUACGGAAGAGGAGGGCGGAAUUCCCGGUGUAGCGGUGAAAUGCGUAGAUAUCGGGAGGAACAUCAGUGGCGAAGGCGGCCCUCUGGUCCAGUACUGACACUCAAGUGCGAAAGCGUGGGGAGCAAACAGG
rnacentral:rRNA from 1 species